rnacentral:miRNA from 2 species
CUCCCCUUUCAUUAGGAGCGUGCU